UAAAGAAUUUCGGUAUGGGAUGGGGAUGCGUUCCAUUAGUUAGUUGGCGGGGUAACGGCCCACCAAGACAACGAUGGAUAGGGGUUCUGAGAGGAAGGUCCCCCACAUUGGAACUGAGACACGGUCCAAACUCCUACGGGAGGCAGCAGUGAGGAAUAUUGGUCAAUGGACGAGAGUCUGAACCAGCCAAGUAGCGUGAAGGAUGACUGCCCUAUGGGUUGUAAACUUCUUUUAUAUGGGAAUAAAAUGUUCCACGUGUGGGAUUUUGUAUGUACCAUAUGAAUAAGGAUCGGCUAACUCCGUGCCAGCAGCCGCGGUAAUACGGAGGAUCCGAGCGUUAUCCGGAUUUAUUGGGUUUAAAGGGAGCGUAGGUGGAUUGUUAAGUCAGUUGUGAAAGUUUGCGGCUCAACCGUAAAAUUGCAGUUGAAACUGGCAGUCUUGAGUACAGUAGAGGUGGGCGGAAUUCGUGGUGUAGCGGUGAAAUGCUUAGAUAUCACGAAGAACUCCGAUUGCGAAGGCAGCUCACUGGACCGCAACUGACACUGAGGCUCGAAAGUGUGGGUAUCAAACAGGAUUAGAUACCCUGGUAGUCCACACAGUAAACGAUGAAUACUCGCUGUUUGCGAUAUACAGUAA
rnacentral:rRNA from 1 species